AUUGAACGCUGGCGGCAGGCCUAACACAUGCAAGUCGAGCGGAGCGGCGGACGGGUGAGUAAUGCCUAUGAAUCUGCCUGGUAGUGGGGGAUAACGUCCGGCAACGGGCGCUAAUACCGCAUACUCUCAGAUGGGCCUAGGUGGGAUUAGCUAGUUGGUGGGGUAAAGGCUUACCAAGGCGACGAUCGGUAACUGGUCUGAGAGGAUGAUCAGUCACACUUGAACUGAGACACGGUCCAGACUCCUACGGGAGGCAGCAGUGGGGAAUAUUGGACAAUGGGCGAAAGCCUGAUGCAGCCAUGCCGCGUGUGUGAAGAAGGUCUUCGGAUUGUAAAGGACUUUAAGUUGGGAGGCGUUACCAACAGAAUAAGCACCGGCUAACUUCGUGCCAGCAGCCGCGGUAAUAC
rnacentral:rRNA from 1 species